AGUGAACGCUGGCGGCAGGCCUAACACAUGCAAGUCGAACGGCAGCACAGUAAGUGCUUGUUGUUACGGAUUGGGACUGGCGUGCGUGACACGUAUACAUCCUACUCUAUUCUUUCGUAUGACCUAACGUAGGGAAACUUACUCCAAUAUCGCAUACCACCUACGGGUGUAAGCAUUGGAACUUCUGACCUGGUGCGGUUGAAUGAGCCGAUGUCGUAUUAGUUAGUUGGCGGGGUACAUGCCCACCAAGGCGACGAUCCGUAGCUGGUCUGAGAGGAUGGUAAGCCACACUGGAAGUGAGACACGGUCCAGACUACUACGGGAGGCGACAGUGGGGAAAGGUGGACAAUGGGCGCGAGCCUGAUCCAACCAUGCCGCGUGGGUGGAAGAGGCACUGGGUUUGUGAUGCCCUUUUGUUGGGAAAGAAAAGCAGUAGGUUAAUACCCCGCUGUUAUGACGGUACCGAAAGAAUAAGCACCGGCUAACUUCGUG
rnacentral:rRNA from 1 species